GACGAACGCUGGCGGCGUGCUUAACACAUGCAAGUCGAACGGAAAGGCCCUGCUUUUGUGGGGUGCUCGAGUGGCGAACGGGUGAGUAACACGUGAGUAACCUGCCCUUGACUUUGGGAUAACUUCAGGAAACUGGGGCUAAUACCGGAUAGGAGCUCCUGCUGCAUGGUGGGGGUUGGAAAGUUUCGGCGGUUGGGGAUGGACUCGCGGCUUAUCAGCUUGUUGGUGGGGUAGUGGCUUACCAAGGCUUUGACGGGUAGCCGGCCUGAGAGGGUGACCGGCCACAUUGGGACUGAGAUACGGCCCAGACUCCCACGGGAGGCAGCAGUGGGGAAUAUUGCACAAUGGGCGGAAGCCUGAUGCAGCAACGCCGCGUGCGGGAUGACGGCCUUCGGGUUGUAAACCGCUUUCGCCUGUGACGAAGCGUGAGUGACGGUAAUGGGUAAAGAAGCACCGGCUAACUACGUG
rnacentral:rRNA from 1 species